rnacentral:rRNA from 1 species
CAUAGCGACUAUCGUGGCAUAUCAAUAAGCGGAGGAAAAGAAACUAACAAGGAUUCCCUUAGUAACGGCGAGUGAAGCGGGAAGAGCUCAAAUUUGAAAUCUUCAAGGUUCUACCUUGACGAAUUGUAGUUUAUAGAAGUGUUUUCUGUUAGUAGAGUGGCAAAAGUUCUUUGGAAUAGGACAUCAUAGAGGGUGAGAAUCCCGUAUUUGGUCAUUCCUCCUAGCGUUGUGAUACACUUUCAACGAGUCGGAUUGUUUGGGAAUGCAGUCCAAGAUGGGUGGUAAAUUUCAUCUAAAGCUAAAUAUUGGCGAGAGACCGAUAGCGAACAAGUGCCGUGAGGGAAAGAUGAAAAGAACUUUGAAAAGAGAGUUAAACAGUACGUGAAAUUGUCAAAAGGGAAGCGUUUGACACCAGUGUUGUUUUUCCGAAAAUCAAUUACGAAUGUUUUGUUUUGAGAAGUUAUGACUUCAUCGGCUUGCUUCUCUCUUUACGAAACUUUCUUAAUGCACUUUUCGGUUAACAAGUCAACAUCAAUUUCUUUUGUUGUAAAAGGGUACGAGGAAGGUGGCUUUCUUUUCGGAGAAAGUGUUUAUAGCCUUGUACCUCUGCAAUCGGAGAGAUUGAGGUCUGCAGCGUAGAUCCUUCGGGGUUAGAUACAUUUGUGCUAAGUUAUAGCUUUUCAUAGACAACUUGCUGACUAUGUUAAGUCUUGUAGCUUACUCGCUUAUGCUAUUUUACCUACGCUUAGGAUGUUGAUAUGCAUGACUGAUAU